rnacentral:rRNA from 1 species
AUUGAACGCUGGCGGCAUGCCUUACACAUGCAAGUCGAACGGUAGAGGGGCAACCCCCGAGAGUGGCGAACGGGUGAGUAAUGCAUCGGAACGUGCCCAGUAGUGGGGGAUAGCCCGGCGAAAGCCGGAUUAAUACCGCAUACGACCUCAGGGUGAAAGCGGGGGACUCGCAAGAGCCUCGCGCUAUUGGAGCGGCCGAUGUCAGAUUAGGUAGUUGGUGGGGUAAAGGCCCACCAAGCCGACGAUCGGUAGCUGGUCUGAGAGGGCGACCAGCCACACUGGGAGUGAGACACGGCCCAGACUCCUACGGGAGGCAGCAGUGGGGAAUUUUGGACAAUGGACGAAAGUCUGAUCCAGCCAUGCUGCGUGCGGGAAGAAGGCCUUCGGGUUGUAAACCGCUUUUGUCAGGGAAGAAAUCUUCUGGGCUAAUACCCCGGGAGGAUGACGGUACCUGAAGAAUAAGCACCGGCUAACUACGUGCCAGCCGCCGCCGUAAGAC